AUGCUGGCUUUGUCAGCACAUAUACUAAAAUUGGAAGAUUAGCAUGGCCCCUGCACAAGGAUGGCAUACAACUUUGUGAAGUGUUCCAUAUUUUU
ensembl:snRNA U6 U6 spliceosomal RNA